rnacentral:rRNA from 1 species
GCCAGACUCCUACGGGAGGCAGCAGUGGGGAAUAUUGGGCAAUGGGCGCAAGCCUGACCCAGCAACGCCGCGUGAAGGAAGAAGGCUUUCGGGUUGUAAACUUCUUUUAAGAGGGAAGAGUAGAAGACGGUACCUCUUGAAUAAGCCACGGCUAACUACGUGCCAGCAGCCGCGGUAAUACGUAGGUGGCGAACGUUGUCCGGAAUCACUGGGCGUAAAGGGCGCGUAGGCGGUAAUAUAAGUCAGAUGUGAAAGGUGGGGGCUCAACCCCUAGAGUGCAACUGAUACUGUAUAACUUGAGUGUGAGAGAGGGAAGCGGAAUUCCUAGUGUAGCGGUGAAAUGCGUAGAUAUUAGGAGGAACACCAGUGGCGAAGGCGGCUUUCUGGCUCAUAACUGACGCUGAGGCGCGAAAGCGUGGGGAGCAAACAGGAUUAGAUACCCGAGUA